UAAACGAUCCUUCAAAUGUGA
ensembl:piRNA 21ur-4938 ncRNA